GCAUUGCGAGGAUGAUGACAAAAUUAGAUGUGCGAGAGGUGAAUACCUCCAUGAACUCAACUUUCGAGGCUUAUUGAUAUCCUGACUUGCGUUUGC